rnacentral:rRNA from 1 species
GACGUAGGGCGCGAGCGUUGUCCGGAUUUAUUGGGCGUAAAGAGCUCGUAGGCGUCUGUCGCGUCGUCCGUGAAAACCUGCAGCUCAACUGCAGGCUUGCGGGCGAUACGGGCAGGCUAGAGUUCGGUAGGGGAGACUGGAAUUCCUGGUGUAGCGGUGAAAUGCGCAGAUAUCAGGAGGAACACCGGUGGCGAAGGCGGGUCUCUGGGCCGAUACUGACG